rnacentral:tRNA from 1 species
GGGGCGGUAGCUCAAUGGCAGAGCGUCACAGUUUACUGUGAAGAUGGAAGUUCGACCCUUUCCCGCUCCA